GACGAACGCUGGCGGCGUGCUUAACACAUGCAAGUCGAACGGAAAGGCCCUGCUUUUGUGGGGUGCUCGAGUGGCGAACGGGUGAGUAACACGUGAGUAACCUGCCCUUGACUUUGGGAUAACUUCAGGAAACUGGGGCUAAUACCGGAUAGGAGCUCCUGCUGCAUGGUGGGGGUUGGAAAGUUUCGGCGGUUGGGGAUGGACUCGCGGCUUAUCAGCUUGUUGGUGGGGUAGUGGCUUACCAAGGCUUUGACGGGUAGCCGGCCUGAGAGGGUGACCGGCCACAUUGGGACUGAGAUACGGCCCAGACUCCUACGGGCGGCAGCAGUGGGGAAUAUUGCUCAAUGGGCGGAAGCCUGAUGCAGCAACGCCGCGUGCGGGAUGACGGCCUUCGGGUUGUAAACCGCUUUCGCCUGUGACGAAGCGUGAGUGACGGUAAUGGGUAAAGAAGCACCGGCUAACUACGUG
rnacentral:rRNA from 1 species